rnacentral:tRNA from 1 species
GCGGGGGUGCCGGAGCCUGGUCAAACGGGUACGGUUGAGGGCCGUAUGGCUUAGUGCCUGCGAGGGUUCGAAUCCCUUCCCCCGCA